GUCCAGGGAUGGGAAACGAACCCACGACCUUCCGCUUACCGAGCAGAUGCCAUGUCCACUAGGCUACCCUGGA
rnacentral:tRNA from 1 species